AGAGUUUGAUCAUGGCUCAGAGUGAACGCUGGCGGCAGGCCUAACACAUGCAAGUCGAGCGGCAGCGCGGAUGUAGCAAUACAUCUGGCGGCGAGCGGCGGACGGGUGAGGAAUGCGUCGGAAUCUGCCUAUUUGUGGGGGAUAACGUAGGGAAACUUACGCUAAUACCGCAUACGACCUACGGGUGAAAGUGGGGGACCGCAAGGCCUCACGCAGAUAGAUGAGCCGACGCCGGAUUAGCUAGUUGGCGGGGUAAAGGCCCACCAAGGCGACGAUCCGUAGCUGGUCUGAGAGGAUGAUCAGCCACACUGGAACUGAGACACGGUCCAGACUCCUACGGGAGGCAGCAGUGGGGAAUAUUGGACAAUGGGCGCAAGCCUGAUCCAGCCAUGCCGCGUGUGUGAAGAAGGCCUUCGGGUUGUAAAGCACUUUUGUCCGGAAAGAAAAGCAUUCGGUUAAUAACCGGGUGUCAUGACGGUACCGGAAGAAUAAGCACCGGCUAACUUCGUGCCAGCAGCGGCGGUAAUAC
rnacentral:rRNA from 1 species